ACAGAGUUGGCAGAAAUUAUGUGAAUAAUUUAGGUUUAUUUUAUGGGAUAUUUAUAAUCUCACUUUGUA
rnacentral:tRNA from 1 species